ensembl:lncRNA
GCCCUGGACCAUGUGACCACGUGCUGCGGGGUUAAAUGCGGGGCGGUUCCUGUAGCUGCUCUUUUCUACUUUAAUCGAUCAGGAACUCGUGCACUUGGGAUCAAAGCAGGAGGAUUUCACGUCAUUGUUUGCAUCGUUUCCGUCGUGCGUUUUUAAGGCUUCGCCGUGACUUGUUGGUCCGUCUCGGGCCGUCUCUCGUAAACAAAAAGGACGACAGCAGUGGUUCUCCACAUUAGUUAUUAAGAUAUUAAAGGGGUCCGACUGGACUUCUGGUGGCACUCGUGACAGAACUUGGAGCUGAACCCGCGUGUUGAAGCUGCUUUCUGUUUUUCACCCAUGACUUUUUGUCAUGUGUUCAUAGCCGCCACAUUGCCUACGUUGCUCUUUGUGUGUGUGUGUGUGUAGUACGUAUGACCUGUAUCAUGCAUCAACCUGUAUCAUGCACAGGAACAUUAGAAACAAGCUGAAACAAGACCAGAGACAUUCUAUAGCGCAUCUAAAUAUGUCCACCGUGUAGAACAUAUAAGAAAAAUGAAUCAAGGCAUUUACACAAUCACUUCUCCUUUACUGCAGUUUUUUGUCGAUGUAGAGAAUGCGAAUGAUUAAGGAAUGCAGUUUUGCAUGCUGACAUAAUGCAUGUAUUUCAUUAACUAUGCAAGACUCUGCAGCGUAGAGAGCAGAGCAGCCUGUUGUAGCCCAUUGCUUCAUUUGCACACAUUUCCAAUGUUAAGAAUUUGUCACUUACAUAAUAUUAACUGUACAGUUAAAAAGAUUCCACCAUAAAAAAAUGUAUAUACGCGAUGCCGUCAUUUCUUUUGUUUUUGUAAUUCUGCUGAUCUGGGUGCUCCGACCUCACAGGGACGGUUCUGACUUUUUGUUUUGCUGUUGAACACCAGCAGAGACAAACAUCAUGUAUGUAUAUGUAUGUUUUGUGAGGAAAAAGGCUCCGUUAAUUCAAUUUGUUGAACAGUUUGUUGAAAUGUUCUUAGCUGCAUCAAAGAUCAGCUUGUCUUCACUAUAGAGGCCACUCAAAUAAAUAGAUACACAUAUGUAUGCAAAUGUUAAAGGCAAUAAUAGAGAACAUUUAGUUUUGUAUUCGAGGAUGUAGCGAACAAUCACAUGGAAAUGUUCAGUUAAAACAUUUCGGUAUUUAUGCCGAGUCGAUCAUUGCAAUCAUGACUCUUUAUUGAAAACAGGCAGUGUGUCAGAAAACAAAGGACCACUAUUUUUAUUUUGAACUGGCUCCCUUUGUGUGUGUGCGUGUGUGUGUGUGUGUGUGUGCCCAUGCGUAAUCCUGCACAUUGACUUAUAGUUGUGUAGUUUUACAGAGUCACAUCUCUUUCAAGGCGAAACUAUGACAAAUGACAUUAUCUGCAACACGUUUUUGUAAUUUUACCACUUUACCAAUCAAAGUUGCAAUAACCACUGAAACUGAAAUGCCCGAAUCCUUCAGCUUCUGCCGGUACUCUGGUGCUUCAGCAAUACAGCUGCGCGCUGUCGUUCAUAUUAAACACUACAAACGUAUCUUACUGAAACCUUUCAGCAGCCUUAAGCAGAACAAACCGUAACGGAUAGUUUGUGUGUUUGGAGCUGAGGAGCCGCGUGAUGAAUGAAUGUCAUGAGUCUCAUUUUAACGUUCCCUCAGCUGAUAAAGAGCAACACUAGUGCUGCGUGCACAGCACGCCUCCACGUUGACCUUCUUUUACUCGUGAUUGUAUCAUUCUAAAAGCAUUUUGUAAAAUACACUGCGUUGCAUUUCUUGAGAUUGUUUUCACGAAUGAAUCCUGUUUUACUGUAUUUCAUUUCAUCUUUGUUUUAUAAUCUUUUUGUCUUUUAAGUGUUUGACAUUCAAUAAUUCAUUCGGAUAGGUCAAAAGCUUCUGUUAUGUUAAUUUAUUUGUCUUGUUGUCAAAGCUUGUCAUAUAUGCACUUUUACAUUUUUUUUUCCACCAAAAAGGACUAAUGUGUAAAUACUUUGUUGUUUUAUCAAUACAAGUAUAAAAUGACGAAUCGUAUUAAAAAUGUGUAAAAUUGGA